rnacentral:rRNA from 1 species
UGAGUUUGAUCAUGGCUCAAAUUGAACGCUGGCGGCAGGCUUAACACAUGCAAGUCGAGCGGGGGAAGGUAGCUUGCUACCGGACCUAGCGGCGGACGGGUGAGUAAUGCUUAGGAAUCUGCCUAUUAGUGGGGGACAACAUCUCGAAAGGGAUGCUAAUACCGCAUACGUCCUACGGGAGAAAGCAGGGGAUCUUCGGACCUUGCGCUAAUAGAUGAGCCUAAGUCGGAUUAGCUAGUUGGUGGGGUAAAGGCCUACCAAGGCGACGAUCUGUAGCGGGUCUGAGAGGAUGAUCCGCCACACUGGGACUGAGACACGGCCCAGACUCCUACGGGAGGCAGCAGUGGGGAAUAUUGGACAAUGGGGGGAACCCUGAUCCAGCCAUGCCGCGUGUGUGAAGAAGGCCUUAUGG